rnacentral:lncRNA from 1 species
GCUAGGCCCUGAAGAAGGCUUUGGGGCAUAAAUGAAUAAAAUAUGAAUCCUGACUCAAGGACUUUGUGGUCUGAUAGGGAGGGUAGUCACAUAAAUAAAUGCACUAAUGAAUAUAGAUUGACCUCAUCUCUGUGAUACUUGCGUUAAGAAAAGCUUUACCAGAGAAGUAGUGUUCAAAGUGGGUCUUAAAAAUGAAUGGGAUUUUGUCUUCUCCACUGAGAUAGUAGGGUGGGGAUGAAAAGCAUUCCUGUCAAAACUUACAUGGCAGAAAUAGCUCAAAUGUUCAGGGACACUUGUCUUUUGGCUCUUUCUCAUCUGCAAGUUCACUAAUGAUUAUUUGGUUGUUAUUCAGGCGGUUUUUAGCCCAAAGAGAAAAGAUUCUGAAUUUCCAUGUGCUAAGGUUAUCUUAAGAUUUGCCAUCAGGGAUCAGUAUAUCCUUCUAAACUCUAGAGAUUUGAUAUUCUGUCUUAAAUGGGGCAGGAAAGAAAAAAAGGUCCAUUUUUCAAGUUAUAUUUUAGGUAGUGAUGACAGGAUGUAAAAAGAGCAAAGGGGACUUCCAUUGAUAUACAGGGACAAGCUGAAUUCAGCUACACAUGGCAGGGGGACGUCAUUCAAAACAACAGCAAUGAGCUUAUUUGCUUUCUGCAAUUCCUGGGGAACAAAACAUCACCAGGAACCUCUAGCAAAAUGAAUGAUGGGGUCAUGUGCUGUCCUCCUUUCUGAUGUUAUAGAAGAUAGGAAGCAUUAUCUGAACAGUAUCUGAGACAUUUAUCUACUGCAUUGUCAUAUGCUGUUCAGAAUUCAAUACAGAGAAAAACGUUUUGUCAAAGCUUUUCAAACUAUAUGCUCCACAGGGCUCUGGUUUCAAGAAGGUCCUUUAGGGUGGAAGGAGUCAAGGAGCAGGGUUCUCAACUUCUACCCAAGUUGCAGUCAGAAAUGUCAUUUUCAUCUCUUGCCUGCUACUCUUGGUGUCAUAUUUUUCUCCAGUAAAGAUUUGUCAUUUAAAUUUUUUGAACAGCACUGACCCCAGUCCACUAUAAUGUGAGAUAGGCCCUUCUUGUGAUUGCUGUUUUAAUUGAGUGGAAUAGAACUCUGCACAUGCUCAGAGUAGCAGCAUGACAAACACCUAAUACAGACUGCACAGCACUUUGUGCUGGGAACACUCUGCUUGACUCAGAGCUGAGUCAUUGUUCUGAUGCUGUAUUUUUACCAAUUUAAAAAGCACUUAACUCUUCGAUUUCUGAUGAAAAGAAAUUCAAGAGGAAGCACAUAGAGGUUUGAAGUGAUUCUGCGAUCUAUUUUCAUUCCCUCAUAGCUAUAAGAAGCUGAACAAGUGAGAUUUCAAAGUCUUUAUUUUAAGAAUUAUAAAUACUAGAGAAUUUUUCUAUUUUUAGAGUAUGUGUUUGAAGAUAUUUUUGGGGUGGAACUGUACAGAGUGAGUGUACCUAGGACCUAGACCUAAAACAUAUUCCCUUGAGUGGAUCAGUCACUAAGGCUCAGGGACAGAGUUGUUAUUCAGUCAUGGGCUAGGAAAGUGCUGCGGCCACAGGUGACAUAUUGUAGUAGAGAUGGUAAGGAUGACUUACCAGAGCCCCUACUAUGCACCAGUUAAUCAGGACAGUAAAUAGGGUAAGAUCAAGGUAAGGCCACAUUAAGAUAAGAUCAGGUACUGUACAGAGUAUCAAAACAGGGCUCAGAAACAAGGAGAUACCUGGAGGCUUUGACAGAGAAUUAGGUUGAUGUCUAUUUCUCAACUCCAGGAAUUUGACAUAUGGAGAAAUGAGUCCCUGAAUAAAUAUCAAGAAGUUCAUAAAUCCCAUGAUAAUCCAAACUUACGUGAGUUCGUAUUGUGCAAAGAGGCCAUGGCUUUGUUCGGACUUUUAAAGGAAUCCACACAUGAUAAAAUCUCAAAAUUGUUGUAUGAGACCUAAGAUGAUAUUGAAUUAAGGCCAAGAUGAACUUGAUUCAGGAAUAUCUGAAUUGUAAAUGUCUUCUCAAAGAGGGACAAAGAGAGACCCAGAAUAUGUAUAUAAGUCAGCCUACCCAUAGGGUUAGAGUGGUCUCUGCUUUGGGAAAGGUAGAGAACAUCAGGCAAAAAAAGUAGCUCUCUGUCCUUUCUCGGGGUGGGGGGUCCCUCUCUAGCCAGAGGUAGAGAAAUUAACAAAUAUUUCAUAACCAGCCUCAUCAGUGGGGAUUUGCAGGCUUCCUUCCCACUGAAUAGAAUCAAUAUUAGUAUAGGACU